CAUUCUGGCAGCUAGAAAUCUACCAACACCACAAGUCAGGUCUGACUAGUUUGCUUUUUUCAGAUAAUCAGUCAUUCGGCAUUUGGACACUAUCCCUGACAAAAGGACACUCACAGUCCAGAAAUUGAAAUCAGGGUCAUAAUCUUUACAGACUAAUCUUGACUGUCAGAUUGACUAGAUUUGGAGCCAUGUAGAGGACACAGCUCUGGGUGCAUUUGGGAAGGUAUAUAACUGAGGAGAGAAGCUCCUUGGAUACGGAUAACAGAGUACCAUGACUUUGAGUCUCAGAGAGAGCAAAAGGGGAACGGGAGAAAGAGCUGAACUCCCACCUUGGCUAUUUUCUGAUAUGAAAUGUAGCUUAAUUGACUUCCUCAUACUCCUGUUACUGUGUAUAUGUCCCUCGAAGCUGGUUUGCACCCUAUCCUGACCCAAAGUGAACCCUCUGGUAAGUUGUAAGGAAAACAACUGACUCCAUUUAAGUCACACAUAGUCUGGAAGAUGAGUUUUAUAUAUUUGUAACUUUUCAUAGAGAUAGCAAAAAUUUCCUCUUGAACCAGAAUCAACCUAACAACGUCCCAAAAGAUAAAAGUAAAAUUGUAUCCUUUUUGCUUCACACAAUACAGCAUGUGGAUUAAUGAACUUGAAGAUGUGAACUUUAGUAAGACCUGCAGAUCAAAGGUUUGUAAACUUUAGUAAGAGCUACAGAUCAGUUUGUGUUUCUUCCAAUGACACUGUGAGGCUAGAUAGUAACGGAAAGUAAAACCUUUAGGAAUUAGGUGUCAGGUACAAAGACAUGACUAAUUCAUGACUGGGCAGUACCCUUAUUAAAGAGACCCAGAAAGAACCCUACCACCACUGCCCUUCUAGUGAGAAUAGUGAACUCUUAAACAGGUGAUAGAAUCCUGCAAGACCUAGGACCUGCUAGUCUUACCACUUUGGACUCUCCAGAAUGAGAAAACCCUGUUGUUCAUAUAUAAUCCAGAUGACGGGAGUAGCAGCCUGUACUGAUGUACAGUAAAAAUAACUAGAAUCAGACACUGUAUUUAGCAACAAUAAAGGCUGUAGAGUUCAAUACGGAAGAAAUUAUCUUUACUAGUGAAUGUUCGCAACGUCUUAGGAAGAUGCUCCAUUGGGUAGGUUUAAAUUCUGGAAAUAUUUCUCCAAGAGAAAGAGUAGGAUGGGAAUCCCAGGAAAAGAGCACACCAUGAGAGAACAUUGGUAGCCAGGACUGUUUUUCAAACACCCAAUGGUUUCAUGUCAAACUAUCCUGAAGGAAAAAAUCACUUCUCAAGGAGGUUAGAAACCAAAAAUGAGGGCUGGGAAUUUCAAGCUAAAGCUGUCAUUUGGAAGCUCAUUGACAUUUUAAAAUGUAAUUUUCUGCCCAAAUCAGAAGAUGUGGAGUAUGAACUUGGAGACCCACUAAACAGCCACAGAGCAGAAUGUAUACUGUUAUCUGCAUCAUUGUACCUUCCUGACUUGUUACAGCACCCAGGAUAUUGUGACUUUUUUUUCUGUUUGAAAUUGGUAGCUAAAUUUAUGUCAUUGGUUUUUUUCUUUUUUUUUUAGUUAAAAAUAGAAUACUUUAUUGAGAAAUGGUUACAAAUAGAAUGAAGAACUGUUACUGUUUGACUGAAAACAACAACAAAAAAGUUAAUGAGUAGAAUUUUAAAGGUAUAGGUAAGGCAAGUUCCAAGUCAAGAUAAAACACUUCUUUCUAAAAAUCCUAGUACUUCAGAUUAGAGCAGCCUGCUGCUCCAUUAAAUAGAGAGUGCCUACCUCUAGAUACUUCUGGGUCUGGUAUGCUACUGUUGAGGAUACAAAGGAUCCAACACAUGCACUGAAGCAGAAGGACUAAGUAGCACCUAAGGCUACUUCCCACCUAGACAUGUGUCCUUUAGCAUCUUGUUCACCAUCUUCUACAAUAUGGGGCUUGGCCUUUCACUUCCCAUGGCAUUUCUUCUCAUACUUAUCCAUUCCGAUUUCAGCUUUCCUGAGAAUGAACCUAAAAUCUGUAAGUUCUCUACAUGAGCUUCACGCUCCAGGUAAAUAUACUGAAGUGUAUUGUACAUAUAUGACAAAACUAACCUCUUAUGACAUUGAAGCAUGGACCAAAGAUCCUGCAAUGGUUAAUAUUAGCUACCAGUCUGAUCAGUCUAGAAUCAUCUAAGAUACAUGCUUCUGUGGAUGUCUGUGAGGAAUUGUCAAGAUUUGGUGAAUUGAAGUGGGAAGCAAUAACCUAUAUAUAUGAUGUAAAGACCUGCUACAAGUUGCUGCCACUUUGCCCUCCUCACUAUGAUGGACCUGUGAAAGGAACUUCAGAGAUGGAAAUGGAGAGGAGCCUGAGGAAAAGAAGAUUCACAACAGACCCAAGGUAUGAUCCAGCUCAAGGGGAGGCCUCAAGGCCUGACACUCGUACUGUGGGCAUGGGACACACACAAAAAGGGGUCUAUCAUGACUGCCUUCUAAAAGACCCAAUAAGCAGCUGAAAGAGUCAGAUGCAGAUAUUUGCACCCAUCCAAUGGACAGAAGCUGCUGACCCCUGUGGUUGAAUUAGGGAAAAGCUGGAAAAAGGUGAGGAGGAGGGCGAUUCUGUAGGAAGACCAGUAGUCUCAAUUAAUCUGGACAUCCAAGAUCUCACAGACACUGGAACACUAACUGGGCACCAUAUACCAGCUGAGAUGAGGCCCCCAACACAUACACAGCAGAGGACUCCCGGGUCUGGGUUCAGUCAGAGAAGAUUCACUUAACCCUCAAGAGACUGGAGGCCCAGGGAGUUUAGUGGGUAGGGGUAGAAGGGUGAGUGGAGACAUCCUUGUGGAGGAGGUGGUGGGGAGGAAGUAUGGGAUGUGGAACAGUUGGAGGGUAACCAGGAGAGGAAUAAAAUCUGGAGUGUAAAAAAUAUUAAAUAAAAAAGAAAUAGAAAUAGCCAACAAAUAUUUUAAAAAGAUGAGGUCUUUGGGGCAGCUCCUAAUUUGAUACAAUUGGUGUCCUUAUAACAAAGAUAUGGAGAUACUUAUGUACAGAAAUGUGUCUGUCGUAGCUCAGCCUAACCUGAAACUCUUGACCUCCUUCUGUCUACCUCCUGAGUGCUAGAAUUAGCUAGCACAUCAGCCUCUUUGCAUGAUGAUGAUGAUGAUGACGAUGACGACGAUGAUGAUGAUGACGAUGACGAUGAUGAUGAUGACGACGAUGACGACAUCGACGACAACGAUGAUGAUGAUGAUCAUGGUGAUGAUGAUAUUGUUGUCUUGAAACACACAGUGGCUCUAUGUCCUAAAUUAGGCUUAAACUCCCUGUUUAGCAGAGCUGAUACUGAAUUCUCAAACCUCCUGCCUAUACCUUCCUGAAGUGGAAAUUUCUGGUUUCUUUGAAAACCCAGUUGUGAGACAUUUUUCUGGAAACUAUCUUAUGAGAGGAUGUUUUUGUUAAAGUAGACAUGUGGGAGGAUGUUUUGCUAAGAGUAGACACAUGGUGUUUUUGUGAAAGCAACCUGGAAAAAGGGCAUGCGAUGUUUUGCUAGAGCAGAUGCUUGAGAGAACAUGCGAUGUUUGGAAAGUAUAUAAAUAAAGCCCAAUGGACAGUGCACAACACUAGAUGGUAUUGGUACACCUUGCCUUUCUUUACUGGUCAUCGUUGGGCUUUGCUGAUGAGGUGGUCUUUGUUGAUCAUGCUGAAUGAUACUGUUG
ensembl:lncRNA